rnacentral:rRNA from 1 species
UUGACCUCGGAUCAGGUAGGAUUACCCGCUGAACUUAAGCAUAUCAAUAAGCGGAGGAAAAGAAACCAACAGGGAUUGCCUCAGUAACGGCGAGUGAAGCGGCAACAGCUCAGAUUUGGAAUCUGGUCCCCAGGGCCCGAGUUGUAAUCUGGAGAGGAUGCUUCUGGCGCGGCGCCUUCCGAGUUCCCUGGAACGGGACGCCGGAGAGGGUGAGAGCCCCGUACGGUUGACCCCUAGCCUGUGUGAAGCUCCUUCGACGAGUCGAGUAGUUUGGGAAUGCUGCUCAAAAUGGGAGGUAAAUUUCUUCUAAAGCUAAAUACCGGCCAGAGACCGAUAGCGCACAAGUAGAGUGAUCGAAAGAUGAAAAGCACUUUGAAAAGAGGGUCAAACAGUACGUGAAAUUGUUAAAAGGGAAG